rnacentral:rRNA from 1 species
AACAACGGAUCUCUUGGUUCCAGCAUCGAUGAAGAACGCAGCGAAAUGCGAUAAGUAAUGUGAAUUGCAGAAUUCAGUGAAUCAUCGAAUCUUUGAACGCACAUUGCGCCCCUCGGUAUUCCGGGGGGCAUGCUGUUCGAGCGUCAUUA